GGUGGUGAGGGCGAUCUGGCUGCGACACCUGUCACCCCAUUGAUCACCAGGGUUGAUUCAGCUGAUCGGGCUGCCUAGGGCAGGAGUCCACUUCCUCCCUCACCCUCCAUAUGCCUCCCUCCUGAAGGGAGCACUGGGUCAAAGAGGAUGACCUUCCCCAAACAGAGGAGGACCCGUCUUCGGUCAAGGGAAGCCCUGCUAGAACCUCCAAACAAGCUCUCGAGAAGCGGCAGUUGAGGUGUUUAAGUCGUUUAUACAAAAUAGUCUGCUCUGUUCUCUCAACUCAGAGAGCCGACUUCGUCA
rnacentral:snRNA from 1 species